AUUGAACGCUGGCGGCAGGCCUAACACAUGCAAGUCGAGCGAGCGGCGGACGGGUGAGUAAUGUCUGGGUAACUGCCUGAUGGAGGGGGGUAACUACUGGGAAAGGUAGCUAAUACCGCAUACUAUUAGAUUUGCCCAGGUGGGAUUAGCUGGUAGGUGGGGUAACGGCCCAACUAGGCGACGAUCCCUCGCUGGUCAGCUAGGAUGACCAGCCACAUUGGAACUGAGAAACGGUCCAGACCCCUACGGGAGGCAGCAGUGGGGAAUAUUGGACAAUGGGCGCAAGCCUGAUGCGGCCAUGCCGCGUGUGUGAAGAAGGCCUUCGGGUUGUAAGGCACUUUCAUCGGGGAGGCGGUACCCACAGAAGAAGCACCGGCUAACUCCGUGCCAGCAGCCGCGGUAAUUC
rnacentral:rRNA from 1 species